rnacentral:rRNA from 1 species
CAGCCGCCACGGGAUUACAGAGGGUGCGAGCGUUAAUCGGAUUUACUGGGCGUAAAGCGUGCGUAGGCGGCUUUUUAAGUCGGAUGUGAAAUCCCUGAGCUUAACUUAGGAAUUGCAUUCGAUACUGGGAAGCUAGAGUAUGGGAGAGGAUGGUAGAAUUCCAGGUGUAGCGGUGAAAUGCGUAGAGAUCUGGAGGAAUACCGAUGGCGAAGGCAGCCAUCUGGCCUAAUACUGACGCUGAGGUACGAAAGCAUGGGGAGCAAACAGGAUUAGAUACCCCUGUAGUCCCUGUCUCUUAUAC